UCCGGUUUGUCACCGGCGGUCUCCUUAGAGUUCCCAACUUAAUGAUGGCAACUAAGGACAAGGGUUGCGCUCGUUGCGGGACUUAACCCAACACCUCGCGGCACGAGCUGACGACAGCCAUGCAUCACCUGUGUUCCCGCCAGCCGAACUGAAGGGUCCCAUCUCUGGAACCCAUACGGGACAUGUCAAGGGCUGGUAAGGUUCUGCGCGUUGCUUCGAAUUGAACCACAUGCUCCACCGCUUGUGCGGGCCCCCGUCAAUUCCUUUGAGUUUUAAUCUUGCGACCGUACUCCCCAGGCGGAAUGCUUAAAGCGUUAGCUGCGCCACUAGUGAGUAAACCCACUAACGGCUGGCAUUCAUCGUUUACGGCGUGGACUAC
rnacentral:misc_RNA from 1 species